AUAUCAGUCAUGCAUAGCAUAUCAAUAAGCGGAGGAAAAGAAACUAACAAGGAUUCCCUUAGUAACGGCGAGUGAAGCGGGAAGAGCUCAAAUUUGAAAUCUUCAAGGUUCUACCUUGACGAAUUGUAGUUUAUAAGAAGUGUUUUCUGUUAGUAGAGUGGCUAAAAGUUCUUUGGAAUAGGACAUCAUAGAGGGUGAGAAUCCCGUAUUUGACCAUUACUUUCCAGCUGUGUGAUACACUUUCAAAGAGUCGGAUUGUUUGGGAAUGCAGUCCAAAAUGGGUGGUAAAUUUCAUCUAAAGCUAAAUAUUGGCGAGAGACCGAUAGCGAACAAGUACCGUGAGGGAAAGAUGAAAAGAACUUUGAAAAGAGAGUUAAACAGUACGUGAAAUUGUCAAAAGGGAAGCGUUUGACACCAGUGUUGUUUAGUUCGAAAAUCAAUUAAGAAUGUUUUCGAUUUUAGGGAGUAUUGACCUUCAUCAGGCUUGCUGCUUUCUUUCUCGAAAUUAUUUAAUGCACUUUUCAGGUUAACAAGUCAACAUCAAUUUCUUUUGUUGUAAAAGGGUAUGAGGAAGGUGGCUUUCUCUUCGGCGCAAGUGUUUAUAGCCUUGUAGCCUCUGCAAUCGGAGAGAUCGAGGUCUGCAGCGUAGAUCCUUCGGGGUUAGAUACAGUUUGUGCUAAGCUAUAGCCUUUUCAUAGACAACUUGUUGACUAUGUUUAGUCUUGUAGCUUACUCGCUGACGCUAUUUUACCUACGCUUAGGAUGUUGAUGUGAUACUGCGAGCA
rnacentral:rRNA from 1 species